rnacentral:rRNA from 1 species
UACGGAGGGUGCAAGCGUUAUCCGGAAUCAUUGGGUUUAAAGGGUCCGUAGGCGGAUUGAUAAGUCAGAGGUGAAAUCCCGCAGCUUAACUGUGGAACUGCCUUUGAUACUGUCAGUCUUGAGUUAUGUGGAAGUAGAUAGAAUGUGUAGUGUAGCGGUGAAAUGCUUAGAGAUUACACAGAAUACCGAUUGCGAAGGCAGUCUACUACGUAUAUACUGACGCUAAUGGACGAAAGCGUGGGGAGCGAACAGG